rnacentral:misc_RNA from 1 species
CUUUAAUAGAGGUGACGGACGAGUAUGCCUCCGAAGCAGGGCAAAAAGGACGCAAAGGCCUCUGCGCCGGUGAUCACCGUAGCGCAGGAGCUCCAUGUCGACACGGAUCUGCGUCGUCUGUAUGAAGCGUGCGGUGUUCUAGGGGAGCCGUUUGCCCCUUUUGCGAGGCGUUUGAAGGCGGAGCUGACGCGUGUGAAGGAUGGGGAUCAGGAAGGAGUACCCCAGGUUCCCUUGUUUGUGCAUGGCGAGGUUGCGCCCGGCGAUUUGAAGACGCUUUGCAGCGUUGCACUGCGACCUUAUCCCUUUCUCCGUGUGAUUCAAUUGCAUCACGCAGUGCUCGGGGACGAUGGCAUUCUCAUUCUGUGCGAAUUUCUCAGUCAAUACCAGCCGCUUCCUGAUCGCAACCCAUUUGGCAUCCAGCGCCUCGAGCUGCCAGGCUGCGCGAUCGGGCCACGGGGCUGCCGGUAUCUUGGCAGUUACCUAAGGAGCAACGCAACGGUGACAACGCUAGUCCUCGACUUCAACCCGUUGGAGGAUGCCGGGGUGCGGGAGCUCUGCACAGCUCUGCAGUGGAACAGCUCCUUGACGUCGCUCUCUCUCCAGUACUGCGGCGUCAGCUCGGCUGGAGCGGGCUAUAUUGCAUCGCGAAUCGUGAAGGAGUCCAACGUGUCUGUGCUGUCGCUCCGUGGAAAUGCGAUCGGUGACAAGGGGGUGGAGGAGGUUGCCAAGGCAAUCUGCGUAAGCUCGAAGCUGGAGGACGUCGACCUGGCUGACACGGCGUUUACAGGCGACGUGAACGCCGUGCUAGCACUGUGCGAAGCCAUGGAGUGCGUCACAGCUCUACGCGUGGUGGACUUGAAUAUGUGCACCAUCACACCCAGUGCCACCGAGUGCCUACUCAAGUCGCUGCAGGCAAGCAGGCAUGUAACUACGCUUCGGGUUAGCGAGCGCACCGACCCUGUCGUUUACAAGCAAAUCGUUGUGAUUAGCGCCACUAGGUCCCAAGCAGGGAAGAAGAAGAAGGGUAAGAAAAAGAUGUAAAUCUGCUUUGCUUGUUUCUCCAUGUACACGACAGAUGGGCUGCCCUUAGCGUCUGUUUCUUCUCCUUCUGCCACUAGGUGAUGAGCUCAAGCUAGUUUGGCCCUCUAUAUCAUCAUGCAAG